UACGUAGGGUGCGAGCGUUAAUCGGAAUUACUGGGCGUAAAGCGUGCGCAGGCGGUUUUGUAAGCCAGAUGUGAAAUCCCCCGGGCUUAACCUGGGAAUGGCAUUUGGGACUGCAAGGCUUGAGUGCGGCAGAGGAGACUGGAAUUCCUGGUGUAGCAGUGAAAUGCGUAGAUAUCAGGAGGAACACCGAUGGCGAAGGCCAGGUCUC
rnacentral:rRNA from 1 species